GUAAGUCUGAACCAGCCAAGUAGCGUGCAGGAUGACGGCUCAUGGGUGUGUAAACUGCUUUUGUAUGGGGAUAAAGUCAAUCACGUGUGAUUGUUUGCAGGUACCAUACGAAUAAGGACCGGCUAAUUCCGUGCCAGCAGCCGCGGUAAUACGGAAGGUCCAGGCGUUAUCCGGAUUUAUUGGGUUUAAAGGGAGCGUAGGCCGGAGAUUAAGUGUGUUGUGAAAUGUAGACGCUCAACGUCUGACUUGCAGCGCAUACUGGUUUCCUUGAGUACGCACAACGUUGGCGGAAUUCGUCGUGUAGCGGUGAAAUGCUUAGAUAUGACGAAGAACUCCGAUUGCGAAGGCAGCUGACGGGAGCGCAACUGACGCUUAAGCUCGAAGGUGCGGGUAUCAAACAGGAUUAGAUACCCUGGUAGUCCGCACAGUAAACGAUGGAUGCCCGCUGUAGGUACCUGGUAUCAGCGGCUAAGCGAAAGCAUUAAGCAUUCCACCUGGGGAGUACGCCGGCAACGGUGAAACUCAAAGGAAUGACGGGGGCCGCAC
rnacentral:rRNA from 1 species